rnacentral:rRNA from 1 species
ACAGGUGCUGCAUGGCUGUCGUCAGCUCGUGUUGUGAAAUGUUGGGUUAAGUCCCGCAACGAGCGCAACCCUUAUCCUUUGUUGCCAGCGGUCCGGCCGGGAACUCAAAGGAGACUGCCAGUGAUAAACUGGAGGAAGGUGGGGAUGACGUCAAGUCAUCAUGGCCCUUACGACCAGGGCUACACACGUGCUACAAUGGCGCAUACAAAGAGAAGCGACCUCGCGAGAGCAAGCGGACCUCAUAAAGUGCGUCGUAGUCCGGAUUGGAGUCUGCAACUCGACUCCAUGAAGUCGGAAUCGCUAGUAAUCGUGGAUCAGAAUGCCACGGUGAAUACGUUCCCGGGCCUUGUACACACCGCCCGUCACACCAUGGGAGUGGGUUGCAAAAGAAGUAGGUAGCUUAACCUUCGGGAGGGCG